CAGUGUAUGAGGGUUUAACUUGCUCUCCUCUACAGUGUUGUCAGCACUUGGAAUUGAUCACUUGUUUAUAUCUACAGAAAAAAUCCUGCUGGGAUUUUGAUUGGAAUUCUGAUGAGUUUACAGGAGAGACAGACUGAUCAUAGAGAUGCUUGGAGAGGAGAACAAUGUGAAGAUGGAGGCAGAGGUUGAAGUUACGCUGCCACAAGCCAAGGGACACCAGAAGCUUCCAGAC